rnacentral:rRNA from 1 species
GAUGAACGCUAGCGGCAGGCUUAACACAUGCAAGUCGAGGGGCAGCACGGGUAGCAAUACCUGGUGGCGACCGGCGCAAGGGUGCGUAACGCGUGAGCAACAUGCCCUAUACAGGGGGAUAAUCCAGGGAAACUUGGUCUAAUAUCCCAUAGUAUUUAGAGGAGGCAUCUUCUAUAAAUUAAAGCUUCGGUGGUAUAGGAUUGGCUCGCGUGACAUUAGCUAGAUGGUGAGGUAACGGCUCACCAUGGCAAUGAUGUCUAGGGGUUCUGAGAGGAAGGCCCCCCACACUGGGACUGAGACACGGCCCAGACUCCUACGGGAGGCAGCAGUGAGGAAUAUUGGACAAUGGAUGGAAGUCUGAUCCAGCCAUGCCGCAUGCAGGAAGACAGCCCUAUGGGUUGUAAACUGCUUUUAUAUGGGAGCAAUAAGGUCUACGUGUAGACUGAUGAGAGUACCAUAUGAAUAAG